GGUAUGAAUGGCUAAACGAGAAAUAAGCUUUUUUUGUUAUAAAAAUCGAAUUUAAUUUUUUAGUGAAAAAGCUAAAAUUUUUCAGAAAGACGAGAAGACCCUAUAGAGUUUUAUGUUUUAUAUUUAUUUUCUUUAUUAGAUUUUUUCAAGUUAAUAUUUUUUGAGCAUUUUGUUGGGGCGACAUUAAGAUAAGAGAAACUCUUUAUUUUAAAAAUUUUAAUGAAAAAUUUAUUUGAUCCUUUAAAAAAGAUCAAAAGAAAAAAUUACCUUAGGGAUAACAGCGUAAUCUUUUUUGAGAGUUCUAAUCGACAAAAGGUUUGCGACCU
rnacentral:rRNA from 1 species